GACGAACGCUGGCGGCGUGCCUAAUACAUGCAAGUAGAACGCACAGUUUAUACCGUAGCUUGCUACACCAUAGACUGUGAGUUGCGAACGGGUGAGUAACGCGUAGGUAACCUGCCUGGUAGCGGGGGAUAACUAUUGGAAACGAUAGCUAAUACCGCAUAAUAUUAAUUAUUGCAUGAUAAUUAAUUGAACGGUGCAAUUGCACCACUACCAGAUGGACCUGCGUUGUAUUAGCUAGUAGGUGAGGUAACGGCUCACCUAGGCGACGAUACAUAGCCGACCUGAGAGGGUGAUCGGCCACACUGGGACUGAGACACGGCCCAGACUCCUACGGGAGGCAGCAGUAGGGAAUCUUCGGCAAUGGACGAAAGUCUGACCGAGCAACGCCGCGUGAGUGAAGAAGGUUUUCGGAUCGUAAAGCUCUGUUGUAAGAGAAGAACGGGUGUGAGAGUGGAAAGUUCACACCGUGACGGUAUCUUACCAGAAAGGGACGGCUAACUACGUG
rnacentral:rRNA from 1 species